UAGGGAAUCUUCGGCAAUGGGGGCAACCCUGACCGAGCAACGCCGCGUGAGUGAAGAAGGUUUUCGGAUCGUAAAGCUCUGUUGUAAGAGAAGAACGUGUGUGAGAGUGGAGAGUUCACACAGUGACGGUAACUUACCAGAAAGGGACGGCUAACUACGUGCCAG
rnacentral:rRNA from 1 species